ensembl:lncRNA novel transcript
UGGGCGCCAGUGGCUUCAAGGGAAGACCUUGGGACCUGGAUAGGGUUCUCCCUCGCACCAGAAGUCAUCGGCCUGUGGGGUCUCCAGGAGCCACACCUCUCGAGGCAGGUCACAGGCCGAGCUGGAGGCCUCCUUGGGCCUGACCGGCUCCAGCACCCGAUGGAUAGCUCUCUGAAAGCGGGAAGCAUGCCUUGUUCAGGGCCCACUUUAUGCCAGACACUGUGCCAGACUGGAAUGCAGAGAUGAGGUCACAGUCCACUCCUUAUGACCACUGCAAACAAGAAAAGGUAAGAGCCUGGACCAAGGUGGUAGAAAUGAAGAUGCAUGGGAGGGGAUAGACCAGAGAGAGGUUUAGAGAGGUCCUCCACAGAUGUACACUGGAUGAAAGUAUGAGACCAAAUGACUUAGGGUCUUGGCAAAUAAAGAUGGCACACUCAAGGGCUUCAGAGACUGAACACUCCAUCUCUCACUCCUACCCUCUCAUCUGCUGGUGUCAUCCAUUGGCUGCACUCCAUCAGACCCCCCAGUGGGGGACCCAGAUAAUGCAGCAAGUGGGGCCAUCUUCCUCCCCCACAGAGCCUGGAACAGAAGAGCCUUUUUGUGGUUCCUUUUAGUUUUGCCAAGCUUGGUGUGAUCACACUUUCACUAUUGAAUUGUUAGUAGCAUUACUGAAGUACUUGGACAACACAUCAUUAUUUAGAUAAAUAAAUAUUUAUUGGUUGC